UAGAGGAUUACCAUGGUUUUUAUGGGUAACGGGGAAUAAGGGUUCUAUUCCGGAGAAAAAGCCUGAGAGACGGCUAUUACUUCUAAGGAAGGCAGCAGGCGCGUAAAUUACCCAAUCACAAUUCGUGGAGGUAGUGACGAGAAAUACUAGUAUUGGUCCCAACGGGACCAAUGAUUGGAAUGAGAACAACUUAAAAACAUUAACGACCAACAAUUGGAGGACAAGUCUGGUGCCAGCACCCGCGGUAACUCCAGCUCCAAUAGUGUAUAUUAAAGUUGUUGUAGUUAAAAAGCUCGUAGUUGAUGUCGUGGUUAGAGUAGUUAGGAGAUUAAUGUCUUGGAAACAAGGCAAUUAUUUAAUAAGGAGGUUAACCAUUAAUGGUUGUUGAUUGUUCGAGUAAAAUUGAUAUUAAGAGAGACAAAGUGUUCACUUUGAAAAAAUUAGAGUGUUUAAAACAUACAAUUCGUAUGAAUAUUACAGCAUGGGAUAAAGGAAAAGGACGUUAGAAUCCGUUUGGGAUGGUUUUAGGUUUUAAUUGUAAUGAUUAAAAGGGAUAGUCGAGGUCACUUGUAUUUGAUCGCUAGGGGUGAAAUCCUAUGAUUGAUCAAAGACAAACUAGUGCGAAGGCAUUUGACAAGGAUGUUUUCAUUAGUCAAGAACGAAAGUUAGGGGAUCGAAGAUGAUUAGAUACCGUCGUAGUCUUAACCGUAAACAAUGUCGACAUUGGAUUAGUAAUCAUUAGAUUUAUGAUUUUAUUAGCACAAAGAGAGAAAUCAUUAGUAUUCAGACUCUAGGGGGAGUAUGUUCGCAAGAAUGAAACUUAAAGGAAUUGACGGAAGGGCACCACCAGGAGUGGAACCUGCGGCUUAAUUUGACCCAACACGGGGAAACUUACCAGGUCAGGACACUUGGAGGAUUGACAGAUUGAUAGCUCUUUCUUGAUUAAGUGGGAGGUGGUGCAUGGCCGUUUUUAGUUGGUGGAUUGAUUUGUCUGGUUAAUUCCGACAACGAACGAGACCUUAUUCUGUUAAAUAGUGUAAUCAAAAGGGAAUUUAUUCCUUUAAAUUUGAAUGAAGUAAAUACUUCUUAGAGGGACAGUUCAUAUGUUAAGUGAAAGGAAGUUUAAGGCAAAAACAGGUCUGUUAUGCCCUUAGAUGUUCUGGGCUGCACGCGCGUUACACUGAUACGGUCGAAAAGUUACUUUAAACCUUAUUUGAAAAGACUGGGUAAACUUUAAAGACGUAUCGUGAUUGGGAUAGUGCUUUGUAAUUAUCGCACUUAAACGAGGAAUUCCUAGUAGGGGUAAGUCAUCAACUUGCCCCGACUUCGUCCCUGCCCUUUGUACACACCGCCCGUCGCUCCUAUCGAUUGAAUAGUGCGAUGAGGGUUCAAGAUGGGAGGAGUAUAUUUGUCUGAAAGGAUACUUAUACUAAAAUUAGAAUUUAUUCGAAUCUUAAAAUUUAGAGAAAGGGGAAGUCGUAACAAGGUC
rnacentral:rRNA from 1 species